rnacentral:tRNA from 1 species
UCCAUGGUGGCUCAGAUGGUAAAGAAUCUGCCUGCAAUGCAGGAGACCCAGGUUCGAUCCCUGGGUCAGGAA